CUGCUAUACAUGCAAGUCGAACGAACUCUGGGUAUUGAUUGGUGCUUGCAUCAUGAUUUACAUUUGAGUGAGUGGCGAACUGGUGAGUAACACGUGGGAAACCUGCCCAGAAGCGGGGGAUAACACCUGGAAACAGAUGCUAAUACCGCAUAACAACUUGGACCGCAUGGUCCGAGUUUGAAAGAUGGCUUCGGCUAUCACUUUUGGAUGGUCCCGCGGCGUAUUAGCUAGAUGGUGGGGUAACGGCUCACCAUGGCAAUGAUACGUAGCCGACCUGAGAGGGUAAUCGGCCACAUUGGGACUGAGACACGGCCCAAACUCCUACGGGAGGCAGCAGUAGGGAAUCUUCCACAAUGGACGAAAGUCUGAUGGAGCAACGCCGCGUGAGUGAAGAAGGGUUUCGGCUCGUAAAACUCUGUUGUUAAAGAAGAACAUAUCUGAGAGUAACUGUUCAGGUAUUGACGGUAUUUAACCAGAAAGCCACGGCUAACUACGUGCCAGCAGCCGCGGUAAUACGUAGGUGGCAAGCGUUGUCCGGAUUUAUUGGGCGUAAAGCGAGCGCAGGCGGUUUUUUAAGUCUGAUGUGAAAGCCUUCGGCUCAACCGAAGAAGUGCAUCGGAAACUGGGAAACUUGAGUGCAGAAGAGGACAGUGGAACUCCAUGUGUAGCGGUGAAAUGCGUAGAUAUAUGGAAGAACACCAGUGGCGAAGGCGGCUGUCUGGUCUGUAACUGACGCUGAGGCUCGAAAGUAUGGGUAGCAAACAGGAUUAGAUACCCUGGUAGUCCAUACCGUAAACGAUGAAUGCUAAGUGUUGGAGGGUUUCCGCCCUUCAGUGCUGCAGCUAACGCAUUAAGCAUUCCGCCUGGGGAGUACGGCCGCAAGGCUGAAACUCAAAGGAAUUGACGGGGGCCCGCACAAGCGGUGGAGCAUGUGGUUUAAUUCGAAGCUACGCGAAGAACCUUACCAGGUCUUGACAUACUAUGCAAAUCUAAAAGAUUAGACGUUCCCUUCGGGGACUGG
rnacentral:rRNA from 1 species